AUUGAACGCUGGCGGCAGGCCUAACACAUGCAAGUCGAGCGGAUGAAGGGAGCUUGCUCCUGGAUUCAGCGGCGGACGGGUGAGUAAUGCCUAGGAAUCUGCCUGGUAGUGGGGGAUAACGUCCGGAAACGGGCGCUAAUACCGCAUACGUCCUGAGGGAGAAAGUGGGGGAUCUUCGGACCUCACGCUAUCAGAUGAGCCUAGGUCGGAUUAGCUAGUUGGUGGGGUAAAGGCCUACCAAGGCGACGAUCCGUAACUGGUCUGAGAGGAUGAUCAGUCACACUGGAACUGAGACACGGUCCAGACGCCUACGGGAGGCAGCAGUGGGGAAUAUUGGACCAUGGGCGAAAGCCUGAUCCAGCCAUGCCGCGUGUGUGAAGAAGGUCUUCGGAUUGUAAAGCACUUUAAGUUGGGAGGAAGGGCAGUAAGUUAAUACCUUGCUGUUUUGACGUUACCAACAGAAUAAGCACCGGCUAACUUCGUG
rnacentral:rRNA from 1 species